rnacentral:lncRNA from 1 species
CUCCUAAAGAAUGCUAAGUUUAUGAUCUUCAGUCAGACCAUACUAAUUCUUCCUCACUUAUCCCAUAUCAAAUAUUGGAUUGACAAAUUCAAGUGGGUAAGGUGGGUGAGGUGAAUCAAGCCGGGCAUUAACCUCCUGAAUUUGAAUUUUUUCAAUUGGUUCAUUUAGAAAAUUCAUCUUUACAAGUGAUUCGACAGGUGGUUGCCAUUAUGGAUGAACUCUCUGAUCACUAGAUGAAGAAAUUUCAUAAGCUAUUUCAAAUUUUUGAUCUGGCCAGAGAUUACAGUUAAAAUCUUCUUCUCUUGGGUCAACGGUCUCAUAGAUCUCAUCCUGGAUCAAGUUUACA